rnacentral:rRNA from 1 species
GACGAACGCUGGCGGCGUGCUUAACACAUGCAAGUCGAACGAUGAACUCACCUUCGGGUGGGGGAUUAGUGGCGAACGGGUGAGUAACACGUGGGCAACCUACCCUUGACUCUGGGAUAACUCCGGGAAACCGGAGCUAAUACCGGAUAUGAACACUGAGGACAUCCUCGGUGUUGGAAAGUUUUUUCGGUCAGGGAUGGGCCCGCGGCCUAUCAGCUUGUUGGUGGGGUAAUAGCCCACCAAGGCGACGACGGGUAGCCGGCCUGAGAGGGCGACCGGCCACACUGGGACUGAGACACGGCCCAGACUCCUACGGGAGGCAGCAGUGGGAAUAUUGCGCAAUGGGCGAAAGCCUGACGCAGCGACGCCGCGUGAGGGACGAAGGGCCUUCGGGGUUGUAAACCUCUUUCAGCAGGGACGAAGCGAAAGUGACGGUACCUGCAGAAGAAGCACC